GGAAUAAAAUGACCGACCGCACUGGAAAGAAGAGCCGAAUGGGGUUCCAUGCGAUGGGGCCCUGCGGUCGGUCCUGGAGUAAGGGAACAAACUGCACAAAAGCCUCCAGCUACAGAGACUAGGGAGGGUUCGCCUGAAUCCCCUCGUUCGGUUGUUUCUAUCUCCCGAAUGAGGAGCCGUUCGGUAGUUUGGAACCGAACGGACCGGGCUUGUGGAGGUCUCAGCGGUGUUCGCCUAGUUGAGUGUCCGAUUUGAGUUCCAGACACUCGAUGCCAAAACACCGCUGUUCGGGAGUUUUAAAAUGGCCACCGCCACGUGUUCGUUUCCCGAAUGGCGGCCACCCCCGAGAACAAAGGACUG